CUAACUUACAUCAAACCUUUGAAGGAAUACGCCACCGUCUGUUGAAAUAAGAUUAUUCACCAUCUCCUCUAUAUUUAUAUAGGUGG